GCCCCGAUAGCUUAAUGGAUAAAGCAGGACUCUUCUAAGGUCUUGAUGGGGGUCCGAUUCCCUCUCGGGGCA
rnacentral:tRNA from 7 species